GUUGCGCUACCUAUUGGCAAAAGCCUGAAAAUAGGCCGAGGAACCAGCCCACAUCCUGAGUACAGGGAGUUGGUUGUUAUAAGAAGAGGUAGGACAAGGGUUGAAUUUUACCGGUUGUUUAGACUGUAUUUCUGGUUCUUUUAAUUUCGAACACCGGUGAUAACCAUGUCUCACACCGUAACAGUUACUCGCACCACCACCACUGCUGGAACUUCGUCUGGUAUUAUUAUCCACUCAGGAUAUCUCCGGACGUUUCCUGGAAUCUUGCAACUCCUGGAGACAGUAAGUUUUGAAUUUUGGGUACUUAAGCCUUUUUUUUGGGUUGUAAUAUGAUAUUAAGGAAGU